rnacentral:rRNA from 1 species
AUUGAACGCUGGCGGCAGGCCUAACACAUGCAAGUCGAACGGUAACAGGAAACAGCUUGCUGUUUCGCUGACGAGUGGCGGACGGGUGAGUAAUGUCUGGGAAACUGCCCGAUGGAGGGGGAUAACUACUGGAAACGGUAGCUAAUACCGCAUAACGUCGCAAGACCAAAGAGGGGGACCUUCGGGCCUCUUGCCAUCGGAUGUGCUCAGAUGGGAUUAGCUAGUAGGUGGGGUAACGGCUCACCUAGGCGACGAUCCCUAGCUGGUCUGAGAGGAUGACCAGCCACACUGGAACUGAGACACGGUCCAGACUCCUACGGGAGGCAGCAGUGGGGAAUAUUGCACAAUGGGCGCAAGCCUGAUGCAGCCAUGCCGCGUGUAUGAAGAAGGCCUUCGGGUUGUAAAGUACUUUCAGCGGGGAGGAAGGGAGUAAAGUUAAUACCUUUGCU